rnacentral:rRNA from 1 species
UACGUAGGGGGCAAGCGUUGUCCGGAUUUAUUGGGCGUAAAGAGCGUGUAGGCGGCUAGAUAGGUCCGUUGUGAAAACUCGAGGCUCAACCUCGAGACGUCGAUGGAAACCAUCUGGCUAGAGUCCGGAAGAGGAGUGUGGAAUUCCUGGUGUAGCGGUGAAAUGCGCAGAUAUCAGGAAGAACACCUAUGGCGAAGGCAGCACUCUGGGACGGUACUGACGCUGAGGAGCGAAAGCGUGGGGAGCAAACAGG